rnacentral:rRNA from 1 species
AUUGAACGCUGGCGGCAGGCCUAACACAUGCAAGUCGAACGGUAACAGGGAUCAGCUUGCUGAUUCGCUGACGAGUGGCGGACGGGUGAGUAAUGUCUGGGAAACUGCCUGAUGGAGGGGGAUAACUACUGGAAACGGUAGCUAAUACCGCAUAACGUCGCAAGACCAAAGAGGGGGACCUUCGGGCCUCUUGCCAUCGGAUGUGCCCAGAUGGGAUUAGCUAGUAGGUGGGGUAACGGCUCACCUAGGCGACGAUCCCUAGCUGGUCUGAGAGGAUGACCAGCCACACUGGAACUGAGACACGGUCCAGACUCCUACGGGAGGCAGCAGUGGGGAAUAUUGCACAAUGGGCGCAAGCCCGAUGCAGCCAUGCCGCGUGUAUGAAGAAGGCCUUCGGGUUGUAAAGUACUUUCAGCGGGGAGGAAGGGAGUAAAGUUAAUACCUUUGCUCAUUGACGUUACCCGCAGAAGAAGCACCGGCUAACUCCGUG